rnacentral:rRNA from 1 species
AUCCCAUUCCGAACUCGGAAGUUAAGUCCUUCAGCGCCGAUGGUACUUUGUCUUAAGAUAUGGAAGAGUAGGACGUUGCCAGGC